UAAGAGGGGGAGUAACAUCCGAAACGGGUAGCUAAUACCGCAUAGUUUUCUUGAUCGCAUGAUUGAGAAAGGAAAGACGGCCUUUGUGCUGUCGCUUAUGGAUGGACCCGCGGCGUAUUAGUUAGUUGGUGAGGUAACGGCUCACCAAGACGAUGAUACGUAGCCGACCUGAGAGGGUGAUCGGCCACAUUGGGACUGAGACACGGCCCAAACUCCUACGGGAGGCAGCAGUAGGGAAUCUUCCGCAAUGGACGAAAGUCUGACGGAGCAACGCCGCGUGAGUGAAAAGAAGGUUUUCGGAUCGUAAAACUCUGUUGUCAGAGAAGAACAAGUUGGAGAGUAACUGCUCCAGCCUUGACGGUAUCUGACCAGAAAGCCACGGCUAACUACGUGCCAGCCGCCGC
rnacentral:rRNA from 1 species